AGGGUAGCGUAGGUGGCCUGAUAAGUCAGGGGUGAAAGACGGUAGCUUAACUAUCGCAGUGCCCUUGAUACUGCCGGGCUUGAAUGAACUAGAGGUAGGCGGAAGUGUGACAAGUAGCGGUGAAAUGCAUAGAUAUGUCACAGAACACCAAUUGCGAAGGCAGCUUACUAUGGUUAGAUUGACACUGAGGCACGAAAGCGUGGGGAUCAAACAGGAUUAGAUACCCCUGU
rnacentral:rRNA from 1 species